ACGGGGGGGGCAAGCGUUGUUCGGAAUUACUGGGCGUAAAGGGCUCGUAGGCGGCCAACUAAGUCGGACGUGAAAUCCCUCGGCUUAACCGGGGAACUGCGUCCGAUACUGGAUGGCUGGAGUUCGGGAGAGGGAUGCGGAAUUCCAGGUGUAGCGGUGAAAUGCGCAGAUAUCAGGAGGAACACCGGUGGCGAAGGCGGAUCUCUGGGCCUUGCCUGACGCUGAGGCGCGAAAGCUAGGGGAGCGAACAGGA
rnacentral:rRNA from 1 species